rnacentral:lncRNA from 1 species
GAAACAUGAAGUUACCGUCCCUUAAAUGAGUGUAAAAAACCAAGCAGAGGAUACAUUUUUGACAGACAGAUCCGAAGUUCCGAACACAGACGUUAAAAGAUUCUAAAUUGAGGGCAAUAAAUGCCAGAUUCUGCUUUAUUGACCUAACAACAACAAACCUGCUUUCGGUCUUAAAAAUUAAAGUAAAAAUUGACACCUAAACCCCACGUGAAUCUCAAAAAAGAAAAAAGAAAAAAAAC